rnacentral:rRNA from 1 species
CGGACGGGUGAGUAACACGUGAGCAACCUGCCCUAUGCAACGGGAUAACACUGAGAAAUUAGUGCUAAUACGGUAUAAGACCACGCGAAGGCAUCUUCGAGGGGUAAAAGCUUUAGCGGCAUAGGAGGGGCUCGCGGCCCAUUAGAUAGUUGGUGAGGUAACGGCCCACCAAGUCGACGAUGGGUAGCCGACCUGAGAGGGUGAUCGGCCACAUUGGAACUGAGAUACGGUCCAAACUCCUACGGGAGGCAGCAG